rnacentral:rRNA from 1 species
CCCACCAUACCGGCGUAGUGAACAGGCAAGAGCUCAGAAUUCUGAAAGCCUCUCGGGGCAUUGUAUUCUGAAGCCUUGAUUCUGAGAAACGGUACCUAAGUCUUCUGGAAAGGAGCGCCAAGGAGGGUGAUAGCCCCGUACGGUACUGACCUCAUUGUAGAAUCUUGGCGUGGAGUCGAGUUGUUUGGGAAUGCAGCUCAAAUGGGUGGUAUGCUCCAUCUAAAGCUAAAUAUCUGCGAGAGACCGAUAGCGAACAAGUACUGUGAAGGAAAGAUGAAAAGAACUUUGAAAAGAGAGUGAAAAAGUACGUGAAAUUGUUGAAAUGGAAGGAUAGGCCGCUAACCACGUAGAGCCGUGUCUGAGGGGAGGAUAAAAGCUGUAGAAUGUGACUCUUCGGAGUGUUAUAGCUACAGUGCAUACUCCCACUCGGGCGCGAGGACCUAAGGCUCUGCUAAAUGGUGGUCUAUCACCCGUCUG